AGUGCACCUGAGGAUGCAGACCCAUCCUGGGAAUUAAGACUAUUGCCAGGGGAGGCAGCAUGGAUUGCUGGGGUUCUAUGCAAGAGGAGUACUUAUCCUAAAGGUCACUGCACAGCAACAGCGGAGAAGCAGUAGAAGGGAAAUUCAGCCGUGUUCUGUUGGAGCCCACAGCGUGCACUGAACCUCCUCAUUAGGUUCUUACAGGCUGGCCACAUCCACAUCUUUUCCUGCAACCCCAAUCCCUUAUGCUGAAGGCAAUUGAAGAGAAUUAUUCACUCCAAUAUUAAAUAAACUCCUGUCCAC